GUUGGCUUUAGUCGUUAGAAUGGAGCAAUUAUAGGAAGCUGUUUAUUUGUAAAAUCCCAUAAUUCAAGGGCGACGGCUAAUCUAGCCAUCAAUCAUGCUUUAUAUCCAGGCUCAAAUCUAGACUCAAAUCUAGAUGGAACACAUGUCAAUAUAUGAUUGGACAAUUUGAAAAAAUUAAAAUAAAAACAGCCAAUCAUUUUCUAACAUAUCAAUCUAUCUCUUUACUUCCCUAUUUUUAAACGUGGCUAAGUGGUUUUAUUCUCUAGCCAUAGACAUUGUAUAACCUAGAAUAGCCCCCUAAAUUUUCUCCCUGUAGCUAUAUAUCAUUGUUAUCGAUACUAAAGAUGAAUAUACAAAAAAAAAAAAUAGAAACCUUUUUGUUAACAUUGUCUCAGAGCAUGUUUCUAAAAACUCUGCUCUAUCCACUCUUUGACCAAUAAACAAUCUAGAACUUGUGAAUCCAUGGUAGAUUCAUCUAAGACGGUGCAACACCAGGACCCCCAGGCUGAAUCCAUUCAUAAUGAAUUGACGAACAAGAAGACGAAAGUUCUUACUAUAACCCAAGCCUCAUCACAUCACCGCUUGCUAAUUCUUCAACUGCUCCAAUCGGCAUUAAGUUUGAUCGCUCCAACUAUCUCUUGUGGUCCCAGGUUGUCGAGUUAUAUAUCUCUAGCAAAGAUAAGUUAGGAUAUAUUAAUGGGAACUCUCCCAGCCUCUGGAAACUGAUCCCAUUUUUUGGACAUGGAGAAUCGAGAAUGCCAUUGUCAAAGGAUGGUUGAUCAACUUGAUGAAUUUGUCCUUGAUCGUGAACUUCAUUCGCUUCCCGAUGGCCAAACAGUUAUGUGAUUCUGCUGCUACAACCUAUUUUGAUGGGAUUGAUACGUCUCAAGUCUAUGAUCUCCAAUAUCUGGUAACUCGCAUGAGACAAGCUGACGGAUUCAUUGAAAAAUACUACAACGACCUUCAAAGUUUAUGGCGAGAAAUCAAUUUUCGUCGUCCCAAUCCUAUGGCAUGUCCCAAUGAUAUCCAGAAAUACAACUUAAUCUAUAGGAAGAUAGAGAUUAUAAUUUUAUUGACGGGUUAGAAGAUCGACCGGACAAAAUUCGGAGUGAUAUGCUACAACUGAAAGCCAUUCCCUACAGUAGAACAAGCCUACGCUCAUGUUUGACAAGAAAAUGUCUGGUAGACCGUGAUGACCUCAAGUAUGGAUUCAAAUGCUGGCACUAUUAUGGUAUCUAAAGGAAUCAAGACAGGCAAAUUGUAAUACAAAAAUCGGCCAAUCUAAAGAAAUCAAUACCCUGCGCGCCUCGUUACUGUUUAAGGCGAGGCGAGUCAAGGGCAGGGCAAUUGCCUCGUUUACGUACUCAUUUAAUUUUUUAGUAGUUUUUGAUUAUUUAUUUUGUUGCGUAUAUUCAUUCAGGUGAGAUAAUAAUAUAGUUAUUAAAUUUUUUAAUUAAUUAAUUUUUUUAAAGUUAAAUUAUUCGAAUAUAAUUGGUAAACUAAGGUUUUUAUUGUUUAUCAUAAUCCUUAGAUAAUUUAAUUUGUCAUCUUCGAUUAGAAUUAAUGAAAUUUCAUGGAGAUUUUUCAUUUAAAUUAUUGAAAUCUUAAAUAAAAAAUUUAAACAGGGCGAGGUGAAGGCGAGGUGGGGGCCCCUGUUACUCGUCCCCGAGCCCAUCUCGCCUUGAGGCAGAACUUUCCACCCCUUACCCGGAUUACCCGCUUAACAUACAGCACCAAACAUACACAUACAUGCGAUACUUACUUCACAUAGGUAUCCAAACUAGUAGAAUGAACUUUAGGCACAAAAAAAGUGAGACUACAACCAUUGAUAAAGGCACAGGUGUUACGAAUUAGACCGCUACUAGUUCCGCCAGGAUAGGUGGAACGCAAAAUAAUUUGAACUGAGAAGAAAUAAAUGUAGCAAAAAUAAUAAGUGCAAGUGACACAAGAAUUUACGUGUUCGGCAAUCGUGCCUACGUCCACAAUUCCACACCAAUUCUUUUACUGUAUCAACAAGAGAAUAAAAGGAAUACAACAAAUACACUCUCUGUAUUUUAUUUGCCUACGCAAAGAGAAUCUCUCAAUUUUCUCUCGUUAAUUUUCUGCACAAACGAAAGCCUAACUGCUUCUCAUUUGUAUUUUGCUCACUAUCUCUUGUGUUUUCACUCUACACGAUUUUCUUGCACUUUUCUUUUGCUCAUUU
rnacentral:lncRNA from 1 species